rnacentral:tRNA from 1 species
UAGAAUGAAGCUCAUGGAAAGAGCGUUUAGCUGUUAACUAAAAUGUUGUGGGAUCAAAGCCCUCCCUUCUAG